rnacentral:sRNA from 1 species
AGGCCCGGGCAACCCGCUGAAACUCCUUCGUGCU